CGCCCCUGGUCGCGGAGCUGCGCCCCUGGUUCCCUGGGCAACGCGGGGCGGGGCCGGCGUGGUGGUACCUUGCGCUUGCGAAAACGUCACGGAGUGCAGUUUAUAGCUCCGGCGUUCCUGGGUGCUAGAGGGACUGUUUCUAGGUGCUUGGAAGGUCAGUCCCUGACAAGGAGGUCUCCGUGCGGGUCUCGGUUGUCCCCGAAGAGCCGCCCAGCUGAGAAUGAGGAAACAGGCAAAGAGAGGUCACCCAGCCAAUGAGCAAAAGCUGGACUGCACCCGAAGGCAGCAGGACUCUGCUAGUAACGUUGAGCUGUGCGAACACAUGCUUUACUUCCUCCCUUCCACUGUGGAUAGGACCUUUUAUUGCUUUUUCUGCCUCAUUGCUCUGGCUGGAACUUACACGGCUAUGUUGAAUGGAUGUGGCAUCUUUGUCUUGUUCCUGAUCUUAAAGGAAAGCUUUCAGUUUUUCACCACUGACUGAUAUUUGCUGUGAGUUCUUCAUACAUAGACUUUAUUGUAGUGCCUUCUACUCCUAGUUUUUUUCUUUUAAUCAUGAAAAUAUGUUGAAUUUUGUCGAAUACUUUAUUAUGCCUAAGUUAAGAUGAUCAUUUUUUCCCUUUUAUUCAGGUGGUCUGUUAUAGUUUUAAAAUUUUUUGUUCCAACUGGGCAUGGUGGCACACGCCUGUAAUCCCAGCACUCGGGAGGCUGAGUCAGGAGGAUUGACGGGAGUUUGCGGCCAGCCUGGGCUACAUAGAGAGUUCAAGGCCAGCCUGAACUGCAUAGCAAGAGCCUGUCUCAAAAAAAAACAAAAAAACAAAAAAAACGGUUGUUAUGUCAGAUUAUUCUUGCAUUUCAGGAACAAAUCCCACUUGGUGGUUACAAACCAAAGUUGCAGAGAUACUAGCUGUUAGAAUUGCCCGUUUAUCUUUACUAGAGAUCUUUAUUUGGUUUUGAGCUACUGCCCAACAUCCUUUUAUUUCAGUCUGCAGGACUCCCCUUAGCAUUUCUUGAAGGGUAGGUGUGGUGGUAAUGGAACGCCAUCAAAUUUUAUCUGGGAAUGUCUUUAGUUCUCCCCCAUUUUCAAUGGCAGUAUUGCAGGAAAUAGGAUUUUUGGUUGACUGUUGUUUUUCCUUCAGCUCUUAGAGUAUAGAUACUCAGUGCCUCUGGCUUCCAAGGUUACUGAUGAGAAACCUGAUCAUUUUUUAAAAAUCUCUUGUAUUUGAUGUGUCCCUGCUGUCUUACUGCCUUCAGGGUUGUCUCCCUGAGUGAUUAACAGGUACAGGGGUGUAGUUGGAGAGGAGCAGUAAAUUCUAACGUUUUGUCUUGGUUACUUUUCUUGUUGCUGAGACAAAAUAACAGACACCCAAACUUAAAGGGGGAAAGAUUUAUUUUAGCUCACAGUGUAGAGGUUUUAGUCCAUAGUCGGCUGGAUUAAAAUGUGUUUUAUACAUGUACCAUUCCCACAAUGAAUGUAAGCAUUAUGUAGAGCCAACAUGUAUGAACAUUAAAAAAAAAAACCUUAAAAAACAGAGAGGGCUUGAGACCUGGACAUGGUGGCACAUGCCUGUAAUCCCAGCUACUUGGGAGACUGAGGCAGAAAAAGCACAAGUUUGAGCCCAGCCUGGGCAAUUUAAUGAGACUCUGUCUCAAAAAAUAAAACAAUCUUGGGCUGUAGCUCAGAGGUAGAGAGCUUGCCUACCAUGUGCAAGGCCCUGGGUUCAACCCCCAGUACUGGAAAAAAAAAAGAAAAAAGAAAAGGGAGGUCACCACUUGCCAUGGUUUGGAUGUAAAAAAUCUCCCAAAGGCUUGUGUGUGGAAGGCAUGGCUCCCAGUGC
ensembl:lncRNA